GCGGCCGCUAUCGCCUCCGCUCUCUGAUUGGCUGUGCGGCGGCCAAUCGAGUGAGGGGGCCGCCAGCCCGUGCGGCCCCACGUGGGGCGGUGCGCGCUGCUGUUAGCGGACCGCAGCGGGCGGGGCGCAUGGUUCGAUCGCGCGCUGCGCGCCUCGGGGACGCGGUCCGCGCCACCCUCAGCCGUCCCUGCCGUCCCGAGGCCCCCAGCGAGCGGCGCCGUGGCUUCGGGCGCGCGGGGCUCGGGGCCAUCGCCGGGUGCUGUGCGGUUCCCGGCCCCGAGGCGCUGGGCCGGCGUCGCGCCUGCCCCCUGCCCACGCGGGAGGGAAGGGAGCGGCGCUCAGGGACCAGGAGCGAAGGCAUUGCCACCUGGCGGGGCGGGGAGGCCAAGGUGGGCUGUGGAAGGAAGAGGCGGGCCUGCCGCUGGUGGUGGUGGGAUCAAUUCAUUCAUUCAUUGAGUCCGUCAUUGACACCUCCUACUCCAGGGCCCUCGGGACACAGACAGCGGUGGCCUCAGCGGAGGUUUGGGGGCUAGCCUCUCCCUAGUUUCCAUUAGUCUCCCCUCCAAACUACUUCAAGUGGAACGUACAAGCAUGUUUUUUGAUAUGGGCAAUUGACACAGUCUUACAUUUUUAUGGCACCCUCAGACAGGGUAUUUGAGGAGAGUUGAAUAAAUGAAAAAUACGUGAAUUAAAGGAGAGCUGUGCAGUAGCCACGGCCAGCAACAAAGGGGAGCUGUUACCCCCUGAGACCUGGAGGGCAGCUGGAGCUACAGGAGAGGCCGUCUCCAGGAGCCCUGACCUUGGAGAGGGACACAGCGACCCGGCAGGGAGGAGCUGCUUCUGUACACUGACCUCACCCCUCCUGACUGCUUGGGGCUACGCAUUGGCUGAACUAGGUAGAGGCCAGAGAGCAAGGAAGCCCCAUGGAUCCUGUACCUACAGUCAGCUUCCCGGGGCACAGAGCAGGGGCUGGGGUGGGGCAAUGGGAAGGUGUCCAGCACCUGUUUUGAAGUGUGAAUAAAAGCAUCGUAGAAAAUG
rnacentral:lncRNA from 1 species